AGUGAACGCUGGCGGUAGGCCUAACACAUGCAAGUCGAACGGCCGCACAGUAAGAGCUUGCUCUUACGGGUGGCGAGUGGCGGACGGGUGAGGCAUACAUCGGCAUCUACUUUUUCGUGGGGGAUAACGUAGGGAAACAUACGCUAAUACCGCAUACGACCUACGGGUGAAAGCAGAGGAUCUUCGGACCUUGCGCGAUUGAAUGAGCCGAUGUCGGAUUAGCUAGUUGGCGGGGUAAAGGACCACCAAGGCGACGAUCCGUAGCUGGUCCGAGAGGAUGAUCAGCCACCCUGGACCGAGGACACGGGCCAACCUCCGACGGGAGGCAGAGGUGGGAAAUAUUCGACAAGGGGCACAAGCCUAAGGCGGCCAGACCGCGUAGGUAUGAAGGGCCUUCGAGUUGUAAACCCUUUUUGUUGGGAAAGAAAAACGGCAGGUUAACACCCCACAUUUUUGCGGGACCCCAAAAGAAAGGCACGGGUAACUUCGUG
rnacentral:rRNA from 1 species